GACGAACGCUGGCGGCGUGCCUAAUACAUGCAAGUCGAGCGCAGGAAGUCGACGGAACCCUUCGGGGGGAAGUCGAUGGAGUGAGCGGCGGACGGGUGAGUAACACGUAAAGAACCUGCCCUCAGGUCUGGGAUAACCACGAGAAAUCGGGGCUAAUACCGGAUGGGUCAUCGGACCGCAUGGUCCGAGGAUGAAAGGCGCUCCGGCGUCGCCUGGGGAUGGCUUUGCGGUGCAUUAGCGAGUGGGUGGGGUAAUGGCCCACCAAGGCGACGAGGCAUAGCCGACAUGAGAGGGUGAGCGGCCACACUGGGACUGAGACACGGCCCAGACUCCUACGGGAGGCAGCAGUAGGGAAUCUUCCACAAUGGACGAAAGUCUGAUGGAGCAACGCCGCGUGAACGAUGAAGGCCUUCGGGUCGUAAAGUUCUGUUGUAAGGGAAGAACAAGUGCCGCAGGCAAUGGCGGCACCUUGACGGUACCUUGCGAGAAAGCCACGGCUAACUACGUGCCAGCAGCCGCCGUAACAC
rnacentral:rRNA from 1 species